rnacentral:rRNA from 1 species
UACGUAGGGUGCAAGCGUUGUCCGGAAUUAUUGGGCGUAAAGAGCUCGUAGGUGGCUUGUUGCGUCUGCCGUGAAAGCCCGUGGCUUAACUACGGGUCUGCGGUGGAUACGGGCAGGCUAGAGGCUGGUAGGGGCAAGCGGAAUUCCUGGUGUAGCGGUGAAAUGCGCAGAUAUCAGGAGGAACACCAGUGGCGAAGGCGGCUUGCUGGGCCAGUUCUGACGCUGAGGAGCGAAAGCGUGGGGAGCGAACAGG